UAGAAGCCUACACACCGCUGCUGGAGCUACCGCCAUGUCUCUACUGAUCCCUGAGAAGUUCCAGCACAUUUUGCGAGUACUCAACACCAAUAUCAACGGGCAGUGGAAAAUAGCCUUUGCCAUCACUGCAAUUAAGGAUAUGGGGCGAAGAUAUGCUCACGUGGUGUUGAGGAAAGCAGACAUCAACCUCACCAAGAGGGCAGGAGAGCUCACUGAGGAUGAGGUGGAACGUGGAAUCACCAUUAUGCAAAAUCCAUGCCAGUACAAGAUCCCAGACUUGUUCUUAGACAGAAGGACAUGAAGGAUGGGAAAUACAGUCAGGUCCUGGCCAAUGGUCUGGACAACAAGCUCCAUGAAGACUUGGAGCGAAGAAAAUUUGGGCCCACAGAGGGUUGUGCCAUUUCUGGAGACUUUGUGUUCGAGGCCAGCACACCAUGACCACUAGCCACCGAGGCCGCACUGUGGGUGUACCCAAGAAGAAAUAA